GGGGUUGUGGCUCAGUGGUAAAGCGCAUGCCUAGCAUGCAUGAGGCACUGGGUUCAAUCCCCAGCACCACA
rnacentral:tRNA from 1 species